rnacentral:lncRNA from 1 species
AAACAAAAGGUAUUUUAACAAGCUCAAUAUUCAUUCAAAAGAGUGGGUUUGUAAUCAAUCAAAGUUUUCAAAAUCUCAGAGCACAAGUAAAGCAAUGUCAUCUCAAAGACUAGUUCCAAAAACAUUCAAAGAAAACAAAGCAUGAUCAUGAAAUGAUUCCUAUGCCUAAGCAAAAUUCUCAACAUUCUUAUCAAACAAUCAAGGCUCAAGUGUUAUCUCAAAUUUCUCACAAUUAUUUCUCUC